GUCCGGUCCCACGUGAUGGAUCGGGUUCGAACCGGGUCAGACCGGGAACGGAGCAGCCCUAAGGACUUUGGUCCAGGCACGAGGUGCCCGGGCCCU
rnacentral:SRP_RNA from 1 species